rnacentral:pre_miRNA from 1 species
CAAGGAAUAGCUGGGUCAAAUGGUUGUUCCAUUCCAAGUUUUCUGAGGAAUAUCCCUACUGCUUUCCAUAGUGGUUGUACCAAUGUGCAGUCCUACCAGCAAU